UGCAGUCGAGCGAAUCUGAGGGAGCUUGCUCCCAAAGAUUAGCGGCGGACGGGUGAGUAACACGUGGGCAACCUGCCUGUAAGACUGGGAUAACUCCGGGAAACCGGGGCUAAUACCGGAUAAUAUCUAUUUAUACAUAUAAUUAGAUUGAAAGAUGGUUCUGCUAUCACUUACAGAUGGGCCCGCGGCGCAUUAGCUAGUUGGUGAGGUAACGGCUCACCAAGGCGACGAUGCGUAGCCGACCUGAGAGGGUGAUCGGCCACACUGGGACUGAGACACGGCCCAGACUCCUACGGGAGGCAGCAGUAGGGAAUCUUCCGCAAUGGACGAAAGUCUGACGGAGCAACGCCGCGUGAGUGAUGAAGGUUUUCGGAUCGUAAAACUCUGUUGUUAGGGAAGAACAAGUAUCGGAGUAACUGCCGGUACCUUGACGGUACCUAACCAGAAAGCCACGGCUAACUACGUGCCAGCAGCCGCGGUAAUACGUAGGUGGCAAGCGUUGUCCGGAAUUAUUGGGCGUAAAGCGCGCGCAGGCGGUUCCUUAAGUCUGAUGUGAAAGCCCACGGCUCAACCGUGGAGGGUCAUUGGAAACUGGGGAACUUGAGUGCAGAAGAGGAAAGUGGAAUUCCAAGUGUAGCGGUGAAAUGCGUAGAGAUUUGGAGGAACACCAGUGGCGAAAGCGACUUUCUGGUCUGUAACUGACGCUGAGGCGCGAAAGCGUGGGGAGCAAACAGGAUUAGAUACCCUGGUAGUCCACGCCGUAAACGAUGAGUGCUAAGUGUUAGAGGGUUUCCGCCCUUUAGUGCUGCAGCAACGCAUUAAGCACUCGCCUGGGGAGUACGACCGCAAGUUGAACUCAAGAAUUGACGGGGCCCGCACAGCGUGGAGCAUGUGGUUUAUUCGAGCACGCGAAGACCUUACCAGUC
rnacentral:rRNA from 1 species